AGUGAACGCUGGCGGCAGGCCUAAUACAUGCAAGUCGAACGAGUGGCGGACGGGUGAGGCAUACAUCGGACUUUACUCUGUCGCUGGGGAUAACGCAGGGAAACGUAGGUUAAUCCCGAAUACGAUUCAAUGAGCGGAUGUGGGAUUAGACAGUUGGCGGGGUAACGGCCAACCAAGGCGACGAUCCGUAGCUGGCCUGAGAGGUUGAUCGGCCACACUGGAACUGAGACACGGUCCAGACUCCUACGGGAGGCAGCAGUGGGGAAUCUUGCACAAUGGGCGCAAGCCUGAUGCAGCCAUACCGCGUGGGUGAAGAAGGCCUUCGGGUUGUAAAGCCCUGUUGUUGGGAAAGCGGUACCCAAAGAGAAAGCACCGGCUAACUUCGUGCCAGCAGCCGCGGUAAUAC
rnacentral:rRNA from 1 species